UGCAGAAGGCCAUCAGGUUGGUCAAGGACUACUCCUGAUAAUCUACUUGUCAUCCACGUGGAGAUGGACUUCAGAGUGAGGCCCUCCACCACUUUUUCAGAGAUUGAGAUGAGGCUGACUGGUUGGUUGAGGUUUCCAAAUAAAAUAUAAACAGUUACUUCUGAAAACAGGCUAAGAAGAAAAGCAUUUAAUCUACAGUCAAGAGACUGAAAGCAGAUAGGAAAAAACAGGACUUACCUUUGAACACUGUUUAUGAUUCUGGCACCAAGCAAGUGACCCAUUGUUCUGAAAGACAAAGGAAAUAUACAUGAAUUGUAAUAUUUCUUUCAGGCUAGACAUGCUCACCCUAACAUAUUUAAAUGGAAUACACCAUCCAGUUCUGCUCAGACAAUGAUGUUGUGCCACAAUUGGAAGACUGAAACAACAUCAGGAAGACCUAAAUGACUGAACAUGAGAAAUGGGGUACAAACCCUGCAACAUAUCCUAAGCUGACGUACUUAGGACAUUACAUGCAUGUACUUCUUCCAUCAUUUAUAAAUCCAUACUCUGGAAAAAGAAUGGCUGAAGAGUCUGGUAAAUCUGCUGUUCAGAACUGGCCUACAAUUGUCAGUCUAUGAGGGAGUAAAAGGACACCUUUUCAUAGGAAUUAGGCAAGGUAUUCACACAGGGAAUGUGACUGCAGUAUUCUGUCAGUGUUGGCACCAACUCUAAAUCUGGAAAUCAGUUUCCAAGGAGGAGGAAUUCAGGAAAAUGAAGAGAGGACACCCUGUUAUACAACACUAUGAACACCUACCCCAGAAGUUUUUCACCAAGUUACAACAAAUUUAAGCCCUUAUGCACUUUGAGAUCACUGAACAACAGGCUGGAAUGAAGACUAAAACCUGGCCAGUGAAACCAAACCACUCUGUAGAAAUGAACAGGAGAAACAUGGAGUUGCAGGUGGUGAAGGACUAAGUUAUGAAGUUCAAUAGAGAGGUCAACCUCAGAAACAAGACUGGCUCUUUCAAGGGUAACUUAUGCAAACAUAUUUUUAGCAUUGUUUCUACUACAUGCUUGCCCAGUGAAUGUCAAGUUUGAAGACCAUUCGUUGGAGAAGCCGUGGAUAAAAGAAGAACAGUAUGAGAUGAAAACACCCAUAAAAUAGAACAAAUUAGCAAUACUAUUCUGGUUCCUUGGCUUCUGUUCAGGAAAGAAAGGAAGGAAAUACAAACUGAAAUGACAUUUUGCUCUUUAUAUAGUUUCUGAUUUCAUUGUACAUUUUCUGUAUUUUACAGAAAUAAUUCCUUAGUAAGGGAUUUCUUUUGCCUUAUAAUGCUUCUAAUAAAGAAUGAAACUGAAAAAAGUAAGCAUCAACAAAUAAUAAAUUGAAUGUUACUGCAUAGCUUUGAGCCAUUACCAUCUGCCCUGUCAGCAGAUCCCAGGAAGAAGAGAUUGGUACCUUCCUCUCCACUUCCCCUUUUCAGAGAGCAAUGAGGUCACCCUUGAGACUCCUCCCCCUCUCCAAACUAGACAAGCCCAAAAUCCUCAGUCACACCUCUCAGGACAUCUUCCAGGCCUGUCACUUGGCUCUGUUGCCCUCCUCUGGGAGCAUUCAAGGACUUUCACAUCCUUAUUAAAAUGUGGGGCUCAGAUCUGUGCACAGCACACUUGGUGAAGCUGCACCAAUGCUGAAUACAAUGGGAUAAUCACCAAUUUGAGCAGCUGGUGGUGCUGUGUUUGAUGAACUCCGGGACGUGAUUUUCCCUCUCAGCUGCUUUGGAACCCUGCUGAUUCCUAUUCAGCCUGAUGCUGACCAGUCAGCCCAGGUAUUUUUCUGCAGGGCUGUUCAACUCCUCCUCUGCCAGUUUAUACUUGUGCCCAGAAUUAUGCAAAAUCCAACGUUUUUUACUUGACAAAUUUCAUCCAAUUAACCAUUGCCCAAUGCUCUAACCUAUCUAGAUUCCUAUGCAAGGCCUCUCAUCCCUCAAAAGAAGAACCAGCACGUCGCAAUUUGGUAUCAUCAGCAAACUUGCACAAAUGGUGCAUUCACCUGCUGCAUCCAGAGCACUGAUAAAUGUACUGAACAGAGCUGGCUCUAGAACUGAACCCUGAGGAGCACCAGUGAUGACCAGACACCAGCCAGAUGUGGCCCCAUUGAUUACAACCCUUGAGCCCUGUCCUUCAGCCAGCACACCAUGAGCCCACUCAUCCCACAGCUGUCCCUGGCAUUCCCUGCCCCUGGCUCAUCUUUUGCCAUGCCUGAGGCUGUUGAUGACCCUGAUACCAGCACCCAGCUCUGCCCACCCAUCAGGGAGGCCACAGCCUGCUAUGAGGUCACUCCCAGCCUCUGGCUCUCCAUGCCCUGGAAGCCAGCCCAGGCUGAGACUGACAGCACAAGACUGUGCUUUAAGGUCUAAAAUAACUUCUUCAUUUACUCCUGAUGUAUAAGUAAUGCCCCUAUUCUAGUUAGUAAAAGCACAAAGGAAAACUUCAACACCAAAAACAAAUAAAGAUCACCCAAACAAGAGAAAACAAAAAAAGCAUAUGAAACCUACCAGAACAAAACAAAAACAGCAACAAAAAUAUACUGCAUAGAACUCUAAUGUGAGAAAAGUAGGAGCUCAAACAGCACUCAGCACCAUAUUAGUCACACUGUUUAAUAUAUUACUAUCAGAUAACUUUAGGCCUGUGUUAUAUAAACACAUGUAGAAAUUCAGCAUUAAACUUAAUUAUGUAUAUAUACUUCCUCUGACAUCUUAUAAUGACAUACAACUCUUAAAGAAAAAAACAUGAAAAAACCCAAAAAAACACUGAGCAACAGUAUCCUGAAAAAAGAAUCUGAGGGCAAGAACACAUUUUGGAACAAACACCUGAAGUUAUUCUGUUACUGUAACUAACUGUGAUUCCUCACAACUAAAUCAAAUGUACAAUGCCCUUAGAGGAAGCUACUUUUAUACCACAGAUGUUUAAACCAUAGAAAAGUCAAUGGUGGUUACUGAUUAAUCCAAAGUAAUUAAGUUAAAGAGAUGACUGAAUACAAGAAAUACUUAUAAAACUGAUCAUCCUAAAAAUUCGUUCUCUUAAUUCACAACUAUAAAUCGAAAGUAAUUUAUCAUGGGUCAGAGUGUGACUCUCACUGCCACCUAAUUUUAAAUAUCUGGAUUUGACACCAGAAAAUGGAUAUCGCAAAUGGGUUUUCUUUUGGAUUUAUGUGACUGUCCUGGCUUGUAAAGUAGGCAUGUAUUCUAUUUUGCCAUCUCUUGGGGGUUAGGCAGUUUUUCUUAUCUCUUUCAAGAACAAUGACACUGCCAGGAAGAUAAUCUCCUGCUGAUGGGCUAUUGAAUUACUCACUGUGGCUGGUAAGAUUAGUUACAUCAUCCCAUUGAGAGAUGCUCCACCCAGAGGGAGGAGCCAAGCAUCCCUGACACCAUAAAACAAGCAUUUCUGAGACCACAGACAGCCUUCUUCGCUGGAUUUCCGAGAGGAAUCAGGAACCAAGGCCCAGCUGCUCCUUCGCCGCAUUUUCAGAAAAGAUCUACACCCUUCUGCAGAUCGCCGC